GGGACUUUAGCUCACCUGGGAGGGCGUACGACUGAAGAUCGUAAGGGCAGUUCCGAGUCCGCGAAGUCCCA